GCUCCUGCCAAGGAUCCUGGGCUCUCUCAAGGUCAGAGGACACAAAUGAGUCUGUUAGACUGGUUGAAGCUACAAGGAGCUGACGCAGGCAUCAUUGAAAAGAUCGUUGAGGAAGGCUACCUGCUGUCUGCAAUUCCUAGUGACAUCACUAAGGAGAAUCUGAGCCAUCACCACCUGUGGGGUGGCCUCCUCUGCCAGUUCUGGAAUGCCCUCUCCUGGGAUGGAAGCAGGCUUGGUGGGCCUCACUAAACCACCAGUAGGCCCAUGGUGACGUCGGAUUUGUCUGUUAUGUGCACACAAUACAUUAGCAAGAU